AUCGCUUCUCGGCCUUUUGGCUAAGAUCAAGUGUAGUAUAUGUUCUUAUCCGUAAAAUACCCCAGCUAGACAAGACUACAAAUUAUACAGUUUUAUUUAUUAUGAAAUUUAU
ensembl:snRNA U2 U2 spliceosomal RNA